UGGUGGAGUGAUUUGUCUGCUUAAUUGCGAUAACGAACGAGACCUUAACCUACUAAAUAGUUACGCAAAGUCUAACUUGUGGCCAACUUCUUAGAGGGACUAUGUAAGUCAAUUACAUGGAAGUUCGAGGCAAUAACA
rnacentral:rRNA from 1 species